rnacentral:lncRNA from 9 species
CACAAUUCACAGCAACCCACCAAGUGAGGCCAGGGAUCAAACCUGCAUCCUCAUGGAUACAAAUCGGGAUCAUUAUUGCUGAGCCACAAUGGGAACUCCAACUUUUUUUCAUUCAUAGAAUAAGAAAAGGAGGCUGGAUGACGGGCCAGACCCCCUCCAGCUGCUAUGGUUGAGAGGCUUUUCACCUCUUCCGUAGAGAGACUACCCCAGGCUGAACUAGGACCUUCUGUCCCAACUAAGAGCUUCUAGAAAAGCAGCUCACAUUGGCUCCUCCAGACGCUUCCAAUCCCCACUGUUAGGAAGAGGAGGUUCGAUAGCACCAACUUGGCUGCCAGAGGCUCAGCUUGGUGGGUGAUGGGGCAGUUAAGGGGGCAAUAGUGAUGGGUUCUUGGACCCACUAAUAACCAUUCAGUGGGAUGACAUUCAAUAAGAAUGGUAAAGAUCCACCAAGCCAGCCAUUCCGGGCCCGAGAAUGAUGGCUUUGCUGCCUAUGUUUUGGGAAAGGGGCACCCAUUAAUGUCAUCCACCUUCCUCUCCUUCCCAAUCCUCUCCUCCAGCAGAAAAAGCCGCAGAGCUGUGGUAUGACACGAGGGGUCGGGGGCGGGGGCCAGCCUUGCUAACAGAGGACAUGCCUUUCCUGAAAGUUGGUCCUGCAGGAUCAAAAGUCAGAAGGACAUUGAUUGACUCGCCAACCAACCCCUCAAAUCAAUUAACCACACCCAGCGGGCAGGCCCAAGAGAGAGAGAAAGAAGGGCGCUGCAGCAGAUGUCUGCCAGGUGGUGAGGGGCGUCACCUGUCCUAAGGCUGCUGCACAGGUGAAGAGAAGCGGGGGACCCACACCUGCACCUCCUCCCGGGCCUGCAGUGCCAUGACGCAAAACCCCGCCCUCCAGCAACCCAGGGACCGAGGCUGCAGGAUUCUGACCCAGACAGAGCCUGCAGUCGCUGGGAGCCGGUCCAGGACACAGCCUGUGCGAGGAAAGAGGUUUGCCCAAGGAGAGGAAGAGUGAAAAGAAACAGAAGCCAUUGCUUCCAGUCGGGGGAAGAGUUUGAGCCCAGAGCUGACUGCUGGGUGGAAGACGGGGACGAGGUGUGCGCAGGACAACCCAUUACGGAGAAGAGUCUAGAAGUGGAUUUCUGUUCCCCAGGGCACCAGAAGUCCACAGUGCUAGGUUUGGAGACGCCACGCUCCCAACGGAGAUGCUGUCUGGCCCUGGAAGGAUCCCACUGAAUCCAUCCAAACAGCCUCCUCUUUGCCGAAGGGUAAGAAGCAAGACUGACGAGCAGUUCAAGAGGCCAGGGAGGGAGUGACAGGGCUAACGUGGCCCAGAAUGGCUGGUUGGUGGGCUUUGGAUCUGAGGCAGGAAGUCUAGGGGGGAGGCCUUGCCCGGGGGAGCUGGGGAAACAGGGUCUUGAACCAGAAGUCAUUCGGAAAAGUCACACAUUUGCAUAGCAUCACCCCUAGGCUCCCUGAGGCAUUCCCGGGACCUUCCCCAGGGGGCAUGAGGCAGGGGUGGGGGUCAGACAUGAAUGUUCCCAUUGAAUGGAUGGGGAAAACUGAGGCACAGAGAGGAACUGCGGCACCCUAGCUACCCUGUAAAGUGUGGUAAAAUGCAGACGGAGAUCAGGCACCCGCGGGUGCCACAGUGUCACUCAGGAAAACCCUCAAGAGGCCAUCCCUCAUCAGCGGCUCUUAGAGAAAAGACUGUUUAAAAAAACCCUCAUCAAAGAGUCUUCAAGCCUAGAUUACAAAAUUUAAAAAAAGAAAGAAAAAACAGGUUAAUGGUCCUUUCAGUUUCCGAACUGCACCCGGGAGAGCUCAGAACGGUACAUCACAGUUUAUCAAGGCAACACAUGAAUGACAGUGUGAUGAGGACAGAGAUGAGGGGACAUGGGCGGAUGGGAAGGAGGGGUUCAUGAUACAAGGAGAUGGCUUGGUCCAGGUGGUAACUCCCACCACCCCGGCACCUUACCAGUUAGAGCCACAGGCUGCAGCCCCAGGGCCUGAGCCGCACAACUGUUUGCUUAACUCAGCCAAAAAAAACCCUCUAACCGUGAAGCUGUCAGCAAAAGACUAAGGCUUCUUCCUUAUUCUAAACCACCUCUCGCAUCUCCCAGGAAAUGGGAGCGGGGGAACCCACGCUAGCAUCCAAUGUGUGCUUUGACCUGUCUGCAGGUGUAAGGUGGAGUCUCUAUAGAAAGCCUUCAA